rnacentral:tRNA from 1 species
GCGGGAUUAGUAUAGUGGCAGUACGUCACCUUCCCAAGGUGAAGGCGCCAGUCCGAUUCUGGUAUCCCGCUCUA